rnacentral:lncRNA from 1 species
AAAAAAACAAACACACAGCAAUACGAUCAGAUCAAAAGAAGUCCGAGGCCGAUGUUAGAAUAGGUAACAGAAGAAACUAAGCAAAAUCACAAUGUUCAAAACAAAAUGAUAAAGGACUUCUAACAGUUACUGACAUGCUAGCUGCAGACCUCAAUAAAACUGAUCCAAUAUCAUGUCUCCAUCGUUUAGAAAAUCAACCACAAUCUCUCCUAUUAGGGGUUUAGUAUUAUAAGUUACAUGUAUAAGAAAAGAACAUAAUUCGUAUCAUGCCAA